rnacentral:rRNA from 1 species
GACGAACGCUGGCGGCGUGCUUAACACAUGCAAGUCGAACGGAGAGGCCCCUUUGGGGGUACUCGAGUGGCGAACGGGUGAGUAACACGUGAGUAACCUGCCCUUGACUUCGGGAUAACUUCAGGAAACUGGGGCUAAUACCGGAUAGGAAUCCUUGCUGCAUGGUGGGGGUUGGAAAGCUUCGGCGGUUUUGGAUGGACUCGCGGCUUAUCAGCUUGUUGGUGGGGUAGUGGCUUACCAAGGCUUUGACGGGUAGCCGGCCUGAGAGGGCGACCGGCCACAUUGGGACUGAGAUACGGCCCAGACUCCUACGGGAGGCAGCAGUGGGGAAGAUUGCACAAUGGGCGGAAGCCUGAUGCAGCAACGCCGCGUGCGGGAUGACGGCCUUCGGGUUGUAAACCGCUUUCAGCAGGGGCGAAGCUUGUGGUGACGGUACCUGCAGAAGAAGCACCGGCUAACUACGUG